GCCCCGGUAUGCCAAUCGGUAGAGCACGCGGCCUCAAAAACCGUCCAGUGUGGGUUCGAGUCCCACCCGGGGUA
rnacentral:tRNA from 1 species